CUCACCAAGGCGACGAUCCGUAACUGGUCUGAGAGGAUGAUCAGUCACACUGGAACUGAGACACGGUCCAGACUCCUACGGGAGGCAGCAGUGGGGAAUAUUGGGACAAUGGGCGAAAGCCUGAUCCCAGCCCAUGCCGCGUGUGUGAAGAAGGUCUUCGGAUUGUAAAGCACUUAAGUUGGGAGGAAGGGUUGUAGAUUAAUACUCUGCAAUUUUGACGUUACCGACAGAAUAAGCACCGGCUAACUCUGUGCCCAGCAGCCGCGGGUAAAUA
rnacentral:rRNA from 1 species